AACGAACGCUGGCGGCAGGCCUUACACAUGCAAGUCGAGCGCGCCUUCGGGUGAGCGGCGGACGGGUUAGUAACGCGUGGGAACGUGCCCUUCUCUACGGAAUAGCCUCUGGAAACGGAGAGUAAUACCGUAUACGCCCUUUGGGGGAAAGAUUUAUCGGAGAAGGAUCGGCCCGCGUUAGAUUAGGUAGUUGGUGGGGUAACGGCCUACCAAGCCUACGAUCUAUAGCUGGUUUUAGAGGAUGAUCAGCAACACUGGGACUGAGACACGGCCCAGACUCCUACGGGAGGCAGCAGUGGGGAAUCUUAGACAAUGGGGGCAACCCUGAUCUAGCCAUGCCGCGUGAGUGAUGAAGGCCUUAGGGUCGUAAAGCUCUUUCGCCUGUGAUGAUAAUGACAGUAGCAGGUAAAGAAACCCCGGCUAACUCCGUG
rnacentral:rRNA from 1 species